AUUGAACGCUGGCGGCAGGCCUAACACAUGCAAGUCGAGCGGAUGAAGGGAGCUUGCUCCUGGAUUCAGCGGCGGACGGGUGAGUAAUGCCUAGGAAUCUGCCUGGUAGUGGGGGAUAACGUCCGGAAACGGGCGCUAAUACCGCAUACGUCCUGAGGGAGAAAGUGGGGGAUCUUCGGACCUCACGCUAUCAGAUGAGCCUAGGUCGGAUUAGCUAGUUGGUGGGGUAAAGGCCUACCAAGGCGACGAUCCGUAACUGGUCUGAGAGGAUGAUCAGUCACACUGGAACUGAGACACGGUCCAGACUCCUACCGGAGGCAGCAGUGGGGAAUAUUGGACAAUGGGCGAAAGCCUGAUCCAGCCAUGCCGCGUGUGUGAAGAAGGUCUUCGGAUUGUAAAGCACUUUAAGUUGGGAGGAAGGGCAGUAAGUUAAUACCUUGCUGUUUUGACGGUACCAACAGAAUAAGCACCGGCUAACUUCGUG
rnacentral:rRNA from 1 species